AAAAGGCCUUUGGGCCUUUACUCUUCCCUGUCUGGUAGGGAAAAUGCUUCUGAGUGCUCUGCAGAAGUUUGAUUGAAGCAGAGAAAGCUCUGGAGAGGAAGCCAGUAGUGGAACAGCAUUGUCUCGGAAGGGUCUGUCCUCAGAGGGUGUGUAUCCUGCUGACCACUUGGUUACAGUGGGAUGUGGCAUCUGGUCCCUGUGCCUCCACUUCACAGCUUCCUGAUCACUCACUGGAGGUGGAUCAGAUUAGCUACUGGUGAAUGCACUAGGUUGAUUCAUAACUGCACCAUUCGCCAGCUCACACACAUCUGUUCCACAAGCAAUGCUAGCCUGAUAGAAAGGCCUUCAGAGAGCCCCUGAAGGCAGGGUAAAUCUGGUUUCAGCAAGGAACACAGGAUGUGAGAUAAAAGUCUCAAGAGGGAAAUUGGGAAGAUGGAAAGUAAGAAGAAAGGAGAGGCCUGGAAAAUAAGACAAGAAACUGGCUAGGGUCUAUUUGGGAAGACUUUCCCUUGGGUCUCGUAAGCACAGGAGGCAACACCCAGCUGCAGUGUGGCCCACCAGUUCAGCCCUGGUCUUGAGUGGUUUGGAAGAGUGGUUCAGCACACUGAAGUUGUAGACCCUUUGGAAAGUUGCAUAUGCACCCUAUGCCUGCCUUUCUUCAUUUAUAAAAGAGGACAGAAUAAUAGUAAUUCCUGUGUGAGAGUACAUAGAACAAUGACCAAAAAUAUUAGCUUCUCUUCAGUGGUAGAUGUUCAAUAAAUAUUUGAAUAAAAUAAAUUUGCCAGAAUCAGAGGUUAUAUGGGAAUACAUGAGCCACACACAUGCACAAAACUUGUGGGAAAAAUAAAGCUAAAUAAGGCAUAAGAUAAGCCCAUAUGAGAGGCAUAUGCUAGAAGGGAAACUAAGGCACACAUAGGAGGAAGGAAAGUUCUGGAAGGAAUGUGAUAAAUAUACCAGCAGAGGAAGUGAAGUGGACCAUAGUUCAGAGUAUAGAGGAUUUCCAACAUGAGCUCAGCACAAGCCACGUGGCUGAAUGGACAAAUCUUUCAACAUAAUACAACUGUGUUUACAUAGCAUUUGUUCCAUCAUCUCCCUCAGAGUCCUCAUCCCUGGAGAUUAGUUGAUUAAGGAAAACAAAAAAAGGUGUCCAUUGUAAUACAUAGAAACUGAGAUUUCAAGAGUCAAACUGGAAUCUAGUUUUUGGGCCAGCCACUUCCAAGUUAUGUUUUUGAACACCAAGGACAGGGGAUGGAUAUUCCCAGAGGUUAGUCUGCUGUUUUGUGCAACCAGAGAACUUUUGCUGCCAAGCACCAGAGAUGUACGCCUGAGUGUAACACCAGGAGAGCAGCCAAGGCCCCACUCGGGCUGUUUUUUUUUUGUCUAAAGUGGAUGUUUUUCCAAGCAAACUGCAUUGUGUUCCCAAAAGAGAUCCAUCAUCCUUGUCUUUACGGUUACACAGCGGGAAUCAAAUUGAUGGGGUGAUGGGUGUCUGGGCCAAAGGAAAAGAUGCUGCACAUCAGAGACCCCUCCCUUUGCCUGAUCCUUUUCAAGAACAAGAAAAUCUUUGGAAUGAAAUGUAGUAACUGACCUUGAAGGAACCCAUCCCCCGGGUUUGACGCUCAGGAAGCUUUGGAUAUUUGGGAAACUCAGCGCAGCCAAUGGGAACUUUCCUC